rnacentral:tmRNA from 2 species
GGGGGCGUUUUGGCUUCGACGGGGGUAAGAGGAGUUUGAUAAGCGAGUCGAGGCAGCAUGUCACCUCGUUAAUCAAGUAUGCAAAAAGAUAAACGCAGAAGACAAUUUUGCAUUAGCAGCUUAAUUUAGCUGUUCAUCAGCCCGAGGUGCCCACGCUUCGGAUCACUGGUGUCAUUAAAGUGGGAAACGAAGUUUAGCAAAGCUUUGAGCUAGAGGGGUAUUUAUGAAGCUAGUGAGUAUGUUGCCUGUCUGUAGGCGUUCAUAUGAGCGAAUUUUAAUAUAUAGACUACACUCGUAGAAAGUCAGAUGCAUCUACUUUCGGACAGGGGUUCGAUACCCCUCGCCUCCACCA